rnacentral:rRNA from 1 species
UACGUAGGCAGCAAGCGUUGUUCGGAGUUACUGGGCGUAAAGGGUGUGUAGGCGGUUGGAUAAGAGUGGUGUGAAAUCUCCCGGCUUAACUGGGAGGGUGCGCUACAGACUGUCUGACUAGAGUGUGGGAUGGGUAAGUGGAAUUCCUGGUGUAGCGGUGAAAUGCGUAGAUAUCAGGAGGAACACCGGUGGUGUAGACGGCUUACUGGCCCGAUACUGCUGAG